rnacentral:rRNA from 1 species
GAUGAACGCUGGCGGCGUGCCUAAUACAUGCAAGUCGAGCGAACGGACGAGAAGCUUGCUUCUCUGAUGUUAGCGGCGGACGGGGGAGUAAAACGUGGAUAAACUACCUAUAAGACUGGGAUAACUUCGGGAAACCGGAGCUAAUACCGGAUAAUAUUUUGAACCGCAUGGUUCAAAAGUGAAAGACGGUCUUGCUGUCACUUAUAGAUGGAUCCGCGCUGCAUUAGCUAGUUGGUAAGGUAACGGCUUACCAAGGCAACGAUGCAUAGCCGACCUGAGAGGGUGAUCGGCCACACUGGAACUGAGACACGGUCCAGACUCCUACGGGAGGCAGCAGUAGGGAAUCUUCCGCAAUGGGCGAAAGCCUGACGGAGCAACGCCGCGUGAGUGAUGAAGGUCUUCGGAUCGUAAAACUCUGUUAUUAGGGAAGAACAUAUGUGUAAGUAACUGUGCACAUCUUGACGGUACCUAAUCAGAAAGCCACGGCUAACUACGUG